UACGUAGGAGGCAAGCGUUGUCCGGAAUUACUGGGCGUAAAGCGCGUGUAGGUGGUGGGACAAGUCUGCUGUGAAAGCGCCUGGCUUAACCGGGCGAGGUCGGCGGAAACUGUCGCACUCGAGGACGGUAGAGGGGGGUGGAAUUCCCGGUGUAGUGGUGAAAUGCGUAGAUAUCGGGAGGAACACCUGUGGCGAAAGCGGCGCACUGGACCACAACUGACGCUGAGGCGCGAAAGCUAGGGGAGCAAACAGG
rnacentral:rRNA from 1 species